rnacentral:lncRNA from 1 species
CGUUGUUGUAUCACCUUGACUUUUUCUAUGGCUUGAUACACAAGAUCCGGUCCGAACAUAAGAGUUUCACCCGCUUCGAACCAUCCUAUUGGUGAUCUACACUUUCUCCCAUAUAAAGCUUCAUAUGGUGCCAUUUUGAUACUUGAAUGAUAGCUAUUAUUGUAGGCAAACUCAAUAAGAGGUAAAUGAUCAUCCCAGCUGCCUUUAAAAUCUAUAACACAUGCUCGUAGCAUAUCUUCAAGUGUUUGAAUGGUGCGCUCUGCUUGUCCAUCCGUCUGAGGGUGAAAAGCUGUACUCAGAUUCACUUGUGUUCCCAAACCCCGUUGGAAAGACUUCCAAAAGUUUGCAGUAAAUUGAGUUCCCCGAUCCGAUAUAAUAGAAGUUGGCACUCCAUGUAAUCGGACUAUUUCUUUAACAUACAGCUUCGAAUAUUCUUCAACUGUGUAAGUGGUCUUAACGGGUAAGAAAUGUGCGGAUUUAGUAAGCCUAUCCACAAUCACCCAUAUAGAAUCAAAUUUUCGAGCUGUACGAGGCAAACCUGUAACAAAAUCCAUGUUGAUCAUGUCCCACUUCCAAAUUGGAAGAUCUAUGCAUUGCAUAUAGCCUCCGGGCUUUUGAUGUUCCACUUUAACUCGUUGGCAAUUUGGACAUUCAGCUACAAAUUCUGCGAUGUUCCUUUUCAUGUCAUUCCACCAAUAUACAUCCUUCAAAUCUUGAUACAUUUUGGUUGACCCUGGAUGAAUAGAAUACCUUGAGAAAUGUGCCUCAGUCAUAAUUCUUUUUCUUAGCUCAUCAAUAAUAGGCACACAUAGCCGAUUUUGGCAUAGAAGUACUCCUUCUUGCGAAAGCUCAAAUACCUUCGUCGCACCAUUUUGAACAUUCUCCUUGAGUUGCAAUAAAACAGGAUCUGCAUCUUGCUUCUCUUUCACCUCAGCUACUAAUGAGGAUUCCGCGGCAUUAUGCACAAUAAGCUCCUC